GACGAACGCUGGCGGCGUGCUUAACACAUGCAAGUCGAACGAUGAAGAAAAGACUCGAAGCUUCGGCAGAAAUUCAUUUCGGAUUAGUGGCAGACGGGUGAGUAACGCGUGAGCAACCUACCUCUUACAAAGGGAUAGCCUCGGGAAACCGGGAUUAAUACCAUAUAACAUUGUGACGAAGCAUUUCGCUGCAAUCAAAGCUACGGCGGUAAGAGAUGGGCUCGCGUCCCAUUAACCGGAUGGUGAGGUAACGGCUCACCAUAGUGACGAUGGGUAACCGGCCUGAGAGGGUGACCGGUCACACUGGAACUGAGACACGGUCCAGACUCCUACGGGAGGCAGCAGUGGGGAAUAUUGCACAAUGGAGGAAAGUCUGAUGCAGCGACGCCGCGUGAGUGAUGAAGGAAUUAGUUUCGUAAAACUCUGUUCUAUGGGAAGAAAAGGACUGUACCAUAGGAAAAAGCCCCGGCUAAAUACGUG
rnacentral:rRNA from 1 species